CAGCCACCUCGUGCCUGUGCCCUGAACAGCGUCUGCCCACCCCGUGGCUCCUCCUGCCAAGGCCCUGAACACCUCGUCUCCCUCUGCUUUUGGCAGGAUGAUGUGGUUUUCGUUGCACACCCACUGGGACGGUCACUCAGCCACUCCUUCCUGGAGGACAGGACCACGACCCAGCCCUUGAGGCGGAGCCAAACCCAGGUCUGCUCUGUGCUGAGCGUGUCAGGGGGCAAGGCGGCACGGGAAGAGCUGGAGCAAAUAGAAAAACGCAUGUCCCAGCUGGCGCUCCAAGCCAAGCCGGACACCGAGCCGGACACUGAGAUGGACACUGAAGCCCGAGUCCUGCUGUCGAGCGAGGACU